rnacentral:rRNA from 1 species
CAAUAGCGUAUAUUAAAGUUGUUGCGGUAAAAAAGCUCGUAGUUGGAUUUCUACCGAAGAUAGCCGGUCGGGUCUUCGACCUUGUAUCUGGUUUUGUCUUUGGUAUCCUCAUAGGGAACGUUUCUGCGCUUUAUUGCGUGGUGCGGUAUCUAUGACUUUUACUUUGAGGAAAUUAGAGUGUUCACGGCAGGCAAACGCCUUGAAUAUAUUAGCAUGGAAUAAUAACAUAGGAUCUUCGUCCUAUUUUGUUGGUUUCUAGGGCUAAGAUAAUGAUUAAUAGGGAUAAUUGGGGGCAUCGGUAUCAACGCGUCAGAGGUGGAAUUCUUGGAUUGCGUUGCGACAAACUACUGCGAAAGCAUUUGCCAAGGAUGUUUUCAUUGA